rnacentral:rRNA from 1 species
AUUGAACGCUGGCGGAAUGCUUUACACAUGCAAGUCGAACGGCAGCACGGACUUCGGUCUGGUGGCGAGUGGCGAACAGGUGAGUAAUGUAUCGGAACGUGCCCAGUCGCGGGGGAUAACGUAGUGAAAAUUACGCUAAUACCGCAUACGAUCUAUGGAUGAAAGCGGGGGAUCGCAAGACCUCGCGCGAUUGGAGCGGCCGAUAUCAGAUUAGGUAGUUGGUGGGGUAAAGGCCCACCAAGCCAACGAUCUGUAGCUGGUCUGAGAGGACGACCAACCACACUGGAACUGAGGCACGGUCCCGACUCCUGCGGGAGGCAGCAGUGGGGAAUUUUGGACAAUGGGCGAAAGCCUGACCCAGCCAUUCCGCGUGCAGGAUGAAGGCCCUCGGGUUGUAACCUGCUUUUGUGCAGAACGAAAAGGUUUCUACUAAUACUAGGAGCUCAUGACGGUACUGUAAGAAUAAGCACCGGCUAACUACGUGCCAGCCGCCGCAGUAA